ACACCUCUGUGUGAACAUCCCAGACAACCCAGGGCACCCUCAGCUCUCAGGCGAAGCCUGGAACUCAGAAAUCACUGCUAUGCUUCCAGUGGGUGAAACUGGCAAGUUCAAGUUGCAAACCCCGCAGUAGUUGGAGACUGCUUCCAGAGGAGUGCACGGCUCUAAAACCUCAUGCAUUCAUCAAAAGCCAGUCACACAAACAAGCAACUUUUCAAGGAUGAAGUAGAAUGACGAAGGGCAGAACUCUUCACUGCACAGGAAGGACAGAGUUUCACAGAUUUUAAAUACAUAGAUCGGUACUUUCAAAAAGAGUUGGAAGCUUCACAUACUCCAGAGCAGUUGUAUAUUGGUGAACAUCAGUAAGUUCAAGUCAAAUUUGAAGCAACUGCAACUAA